GCCGGCGUGGCUCAAUGGUAGAGCAGCUGAUUUGUAAUCAGCAGGUUGGGGGUUCGAUUCCCUUCGCCGGCU
rnacentral:tRNA from 1 species